UUGAACAUGGAUAAGAAAAUUUCAACUUUUUGAUUAAAAUGAGACUCCCUGUAGUAUAUCAAAUUGAAAAAAACAAGAGAAAUGAUGAAAUAACAUUAAAUAAACAAAAUUCGGAUUCUGCGUUUUUUUUUUAAUAAAUAAGAUACAUCAAAACUGGAAAGUAAUAAAAAUAAAUCUAAAAUCGGGGAUCAAUAAAUUCAUUUGAACCAAAUCGAAUUAAUUAGUGUGAUUAAGACAAUUGGCAACAAGUGAAAAUGAUUCCCAAACUUCUGAGUGUUUUUCUUAUUCUAAUACUAUUUAAUAUCACAGACGCUAAAAAUAACGUACAAUUCGACAUCAAUGGAGACUAUAAGCAUAACGAAUACCACAAGUACACCCCAGAUUGUUGUCUUAUAACGUCAUGCGAUCGUGGAGGAUGUUUAAAUUCUAUAAAAUGUGGACAUAUUUGCUCUACGGCGAAUUAUCCUAAAGCCGUUGUCGAUAGGACACCGGGAUAUGUCAAAAAAUCUUAUUAUACCACUUAUGAAUGUCAUUUUGGAGAAUGUAACCAUUUUCAAAUAUCCUGUGAUCAUUGUCCGGAUCCCAACGAAAGUGAUUUUAGUAUUUAUACUAUUAGAACGGACUGUAUUGAAUGUUAUCAAUAAAGUUUUUUUACAGACCGUACAUUUUGUUCUUGAAUAGUUUAGUUAACUACCAGAUACAUAUAGAAUAUCACCUAAAGAAAAAAAAAAACCAAAGGAAAUAGCAUUAAGUUUGAAGAAAUUGGUGUUUAUUUAUCAUUAGAUUGGCGAUUGAUUUCUGGACGCCCUGUAUGAAAUAAUAUCUCAAACCUUGUAGAAAGUAUGAUACUUGAAAUGAAGUUUUCGAUUUCCUCAAUUUCCUGCAAAUAACAUCAUAAUUUAUUAUCUGUUGCCUUCGUUUUCCAAUAUCUGCUAUUUGUUCAUUCCAUCUUUUUCUUGAUCUGUCCCUUCUCCUUCUUUUCCUUUAGUUAAUCAUCCUUAUUAAAUGUCCAAACCAGAAGAUUCUAUCUAUCUUAGUCUUUCUUUCUUAUUGAACACUGUUUGCUUUUUUAAUUGUAUUUGUAACCUCCUCUUAUAUUUUGGCGAUCUUCUUUUUCUAAAAAUUCCUCCCUAUUUUGUCACUUUUUCCAUCAUAAAACCUGAGAUUUGUCCAUUCAGAUAUACUAUAUAUAUACUAUAUCAAGUUAAUUUGGAUUGAGUCGAAUGCUAUUCUCAGAUCUAUGAACGUUAAGUGCAGGGUUUCUCCUCAGGUCUUCUCCUUUUCUGAACGCUGCUUCUUCUCUUAGUCUUCGUUUCUUCUUCUUUCUCAUGGAUUUGAACUGGCUUCCUUAAUCAUCUCGCAUGAACAUGUCUUAGUUUUUCUCCCAGAUAUUUGACCAUUUCUGGAUUUAUCUUAAUUGUUCCGCUCGCUUUUAAACGUAUUGAAAAUAUAGGUUAUAUUCAAUGAGGAGUUUAAAAGUGAAAAUAAAAUUAAAUAAUGUUAUUUAGAACAAAAUUUUUGAAACAGAUAAUGUUUAUAAACAUAGUUUUCAAUAAUGAAAACAAAAUGUUUUCGUUUCUUGAGAUAAAUACAUUUAAUUCUGAAAAAAAUACUCACGCACUCAGGUCAAAGAUAAUUAUUGUCUACAAGCGUAUAAACAACAAAUUAUUAAUCAAUUCUCUUGUAAUAAAUUCUUGUUAUAACAAUUCUAGUGUUCAAAAUGAUUACCCACCAAAUUCUCCUUCUCCAAAUAUGUCUGGUGAUGGUGGCAUUGGGAGCGCCCCUGAUAGAUUCAGAUAUUAAAUCAAACACAACAUCAUGUUGUACUAUAUCUCGUUGUAAAGAAAUUCCAAUGAGUGACGAAAAUCACGAUAUCUUCCAAUGUUAUAAAAAAGAAGUUUGCGGUGAAGAAUGUACGGAUUACAAGAAAAGACCUCUACCUCCAGUUCCUCAAUACCAAAGAAAAAAUUACUACCUAAAAAAAAUAUGCAACAUGUACGGAUGCUAUGACUACGCUUUCGACUGUAGGAUAUGUUUAGAUCCAAAACGAGGCGAUUUCAAUCCGUAUAACAUC